AGCGCGCCUCGGGAAGGGGCAGGUAUGUGGGAGGCGGGUGGCUGAGAACCCCUCUUUUGGAAUUUAAGGCGAUUCGUGUCCAGGAACCUUCCGCGGUGGCAGGGAAUUAGGAAUCCUGAUAAAGUGCGCGGGGGCAGAAUCCCGAAGCCCGGUGUUCUCUAGCCACAAUUAUCCUGAUCAUUUCUGGGCUGGACUGGGAUGUUGUCUCCUCCGCCUCUGAGCCUUUGCACACAGAAAUGUGCAUUCGUUUGUGAAACUCAACCCUGAUUUCUAACAAACAUCAGAUUUAAGAAGACGGAGACUCAGGAGAAGCUCCAGAUCCAAGAUCGGGAGGACCCACGUUGCCACUACUCUGAAAUAAAUUUUACUAAUCUUCCUACAA